UGGGGAAUUUUGCACAAUGGGGGAAACCCUGAUGCAGCGACGCCGCGUGAUUUAGAAGGCCUUCGGGUUGUAAAAAUCUUUUCUAUGGGAAGAAAAUGACAGUACCAUAGGAAUAAGGACCGGCUAAUUACGUGCCAGCAGCCGCGGUAAUACGUAAGGUCCGAGCGUUGUCCGGAAUCAUUGGGCGUAAAGGGUACGUAGGCGGGUAAGCAAGUUAGAAGUGAAAUCCUAUAGCUCAACUAUAGUAAGCUUUUAAAACUGCUCAUCUUGAGGUAUGGAAGGGAAAGUGGAAUUCCUAGUGUAGCGGUGAAAUGCGCAGAUAUUAGGAGGAAUACCGGUGGCGAAGUCGACUUUCUGGCCAUAACCUGACGCUGAGGUACGAACGCGUGGGUAGCAAACAGG
rnacentral:rRNA from 1 species